UACGUAGGGGGCUAGCGUUGCUCGGAUUUAUUGGGCGUAAAGAGCGUGUAGGCGGCCAGGUAGGUCUGCUGUGAAAACUCGAGGCUCAACCUCGAGACGUCGGCGGAAACCAUCUGGCUAGAGUCCGGAAGAGGAUGAGUGGAAUUCCUGGUGUGAGCGGUGAAAUGCGCAGAUAUCAGGAAGAACACCCGUGGCGAAGGCGGCUCUCUGGGACGGUACUGACGCUGAGACGCGAAAAGCGUGGG
rnacentral:rRNA from 1 species